GAUGAACGCUGGCGGCGUGCCUAAUACAUGCAAGUCGAGCGAACAGACGAGGAGCUUGCUCCUCUGACGUUAGCGGCGGACGGGUGAGUAACACGUGGAUAACCUACCUAUAAGACUGGGAUAACUUCGGGAAACCGGAGCUAAUACCGGAUAAUAUAUUGAACCGCAUGGUUCAAUAGUGAAAGACGGUUUUGCUGUCACUUAUAGAUGGAUCCGCGCCGCAUUAGCUAGUUGGUAAGGUAACGGCUUACCAAGGCAACGAUGCGUAGCCGACCUGAGAGGGUGAUCGGCCACACUGGAACUGAGACACGGUCCGGACUCCUACGGGAGGCAGCAGUAGGGAAUCUUCCGCAAUGGGCGAAAGCCUGACGGAGCAACGCCGCGUGAGUGAUGAAGGUCUUCGGAUCGUAAAACUCUGUUAUUAGGGAAGAACAAAUGUGUAAGUAACUAUGCACGUCUUGACGGUACCUAAUCAGAAAGCCACGGCUAGCUACGUG
rnacentral:rRNA from 1 species